rnacentral:rRNA from 1 species
CACGCAGGCGGUUUCUUAAGUCCUUUGUGAAAGCCCGGGGCUCAACUCCGGAACUGCAGAGGAUACUGGGAGACUGGAGACAGGUAGAGGCUAGCGGAAUUCCUGGUGUAGCGGUGGAAUGCGUAGAUAUCAGGAAGAACACCUGUGGCGAAGGCGGCUAGCUGGGCCUGUUCUGACGCUCAUGUGCGAAAGCGUGGGGAGCAAACA